CUUCGUUUGACCAGAGUAGGUCCUGCAUAGAACAGUUCAGCCCAUUGCUGUUUAAGACAGAAGCUUUUAUUUUUAAUCAUCCAAAUGGGGAAAAUGCAACAUGUCAGGGCAUGACAGACAAACUGCAGCAGCCAGACAAGAGGGUCAGUCUAUGGCAGAGUCCAACACAGUCAGUGCGAAGGAGCCACAGUGUGGGUGCUGCCUGUGGGAGUCGAGGUGGCAGAGAGUCCCUUUGGAUGAAGGCCAGGCAUCUCUGGGCGAGGCACUGGUGACAGUCCACACAUGCAGGCUGCUGCUUCAACCACGCCGAAGGUUUAUAAAGUUCAGAGUCCUACAUGUAAUCAUUGCCCCAGAGGGGAAGGACAAUCCACGGUGGUCACGUUUUCCAAUGUUUUUUAAACAUAAUAUACAACAUAAAGUUAUUGCCAAGGACUUUGCACUGCAAAUUAUACUAUUUACACUUGCGUAUUCAGAAAAAACACAGUAAAUAGAUACAGAUAGAUAUUUUAAAUAGAUUUCUAAAAACUACCGUGGCCAUCACCAGACCAGAGUGAGUGAGCUACAGCCAGGAGGCCAACGUCGUGUGCGUAACCGUGCAGGAGGGCGAGGUUUUCUACCCACAACUACACUCAGCCUUCUCCAUACCUCCUGAACCCCCGGGGCGGAGGAAGGGCUAAGGCCGAGCAGAGCCACCUCACUCCUCUGUGAGGGAAGCCCCUUCUUGAAGAGCCGGGGGCUUCAGGUCUAGACUGGCCGCCUCCUUCCCAGACAAUGAGUUCUGCCUCGAGUGAGUGAGAAGCCAGCCUCACAGACCCCUCUCCAGGAAUGCUACACAGCAGGCAGACCUGAAUGCAUGGGCUUGGGCUACGGGGCUAACAGGCUGAGCAGGCCUUCCCCUGUCCAUCUUGUCAAGAGCACCCUUGGGACCAGGCCCAUCAGCCUCACUGGUCCUGGAAGUGCCCUCGCCCUAAUUAGGGCUACCUUAGGAGACCUGUCUUCUCCUGAAGAUGUGGCUAGACCAAAGGUUCAGCACAACAGGCCAGCAGAUGGGUCCCUGGUGAAAGGCCUGAGUUCAAAGAUACUUUGGGGAAAACAGGAUAAACAAACACUACUAACGGCCGAAGUAAAUGAAGUCUGCCCAAGGAAGGUGGCUCAUGACUCAGUAGAAGAUGAGAGGACCAAGGCAGAGCAUUCCCACCUCAACCCAGCAUUCACUUGGCCUCCUCAAACACCUUGGAAAGGAAGUCCGUCUGGAGGUUAGAGAGAGUUCACAAGACGGCCAGGGCCACCCUCAAUUCCUGAGAUGCAGAAAGUGAGGCCCCUGGUUAGGGCCUUGAGGAUGCCUGCAAUUUGCCUCCCCAGUUGAGCUACUAAAAAGAAACCUUCAUCUCCAGGAAAGGUAGUAAUAAAUGGUAGCCUAGCCACCUCCCACAUAGCCAUGAAAAGUCCCACUGUUGAGAGGCCACCAUGUUAAGUGAACAGGGGAAAAGUGGUGCCCAGUGUCCCCUCUAUGAAGUAGGAGUGCAGUGUGAACCGCAGAGGGCUAGUCUGAGCAUGAGAUGCCACCAUGGUCAGGGAAAGGGAUGCAGCAGCUAAUGGCAGCACUUCCGGCAUGUCAGGCGAGGGAAGAGGUAUUUGGGGAACUAGGGCUUUCCUGGCUAAACUCCAAAUCAUACCUCGUGUGGGCCGUCAUCACCAUCUCAGGGGCCAGGGCCGCAGCCUGAGGGAGCCAGUGAGACGAUGGACUCAAGGAGGCUUAGAGAGUGACACGAAGGUAUCAAGGAAUCCAGUGUCUCUUGAUCAAUGUGUCUUGCCACUGACCCACCAAACCAAAACUCCUUAAGCCCAAGGGGUGUUUGUGAGCAGCAGGAACCCAGUUCUCAGGGAGGAGAGGAGCUGUGCUCAGUCUGGAGAGUGGAGAGCUCGAGCUGCCUGGGAGAGGGGGAAAGAGGCUGCACACUUAAAAUGCAGCUUCCUAAAUUACAAGUGGAGAAGGGACUUCUCAAAGAUAGUCUUAGCUAUCUAAAACUCCUGUCUCUCUCCUUAAUUCAUUUCCAUGAACAAAAAGGAAAAAAUCUGACUUUCCAGAACAGCAGAAGUAUUUAGGUUAGAGUCAAAAAAAAAGGACUCUCUGACCGUCACCUGUUUCCCUAAGCAGGAAAAUGAGACAUGGCAUCAAGCCUGACCGUGGGCUGGGCCAGGGCAAGGAGCUGGGCCAGGCUUGAGCUCCAGAAGUGACUACGGUGCCUGCUUGCAAGAGUCUUCCCAUGAGGCCGGAGGACUAAGCUGCCUGAUAAAAGGCCACAUCUGGCAUCACAGCCAGGGACAGACCACACCAUCUACCACAGCCAGGCCCAACCUCCCUCUGUCCAUUCCCUUCCAUGAGCCCAGAAAUGCCCCUAGAAAACUCAAGGAGGGCUCCUUCUUAGAGAUGAAAAGUAAUACAACUACAGUCAGAGCCUGAGAGCAACACCCCCAUGUCCCCAAAAGAGACAAAACCAGGCAGCAAAAUGGGAGAGGCAAGUUCCCCACAGAGACAAGCCCAGCAACAGCAGCCAGCGUUCUCCAUGACUUCUUUCCAUAACCCUCACCUGAUUCUUAGUGAUGACGAGACACAACUUCACCCAGAGCAGGCAGCACCCAGAACCCUAAGUUUUCAGUGCUUUACUACCUAGGCACCCCACCAUCCUCCCAAGUCCCCUUCCACCCAGGGCUUGUCUCCCCCAGGGCCCACCUGCCUGAGUGCUCCAGGCAGCGCCAAGCUCCUCACCUCCUAACUUGGUCCCCAGAGGACCAGACUGUCUCCAAGCCACAUGGAAGCCAGUUCACAGAACAGUGCUGCCAGAGCUGUGUUGGGAGAGCCCCGUGUGGAGCUAGUGCCCCCGCCCCCAGCUGUGGGGCCUUGGGCAAGUGCUUUCCCUUCCCUGAGCAGCAGGUGAUCCUCACCUCCUCCCACAGGCCUGCUGGGCUUCAAUGAAACAGCAUCCGUGCAGGCACUCAUAUUAGGUCGUCUUCCUCCAGUCCCUGCUGGCGCUUCCAUGGCAGCUCCUGUCACUCACUGUACAUGCAGCACACACCCCCUCUGACUUCUGUUCACAUUAAAGGAGAAUGCUGGCUCACGUCUCUGGCACCUCAUGAUGCUCAGUAAACAGUAGCUCCCUUCACCUGCCUAGAAACCUCUCUGAGGGAAAGCACUUUGGAAAGGAGAGUGCUCUGUAUACAUUUACGGGUUUUGCUCGUUGCGCCAACUACACUGAGCACCUUGGGCAGGCAGCAAGAGUGCUUCAUCUCAAUCUCGCCUGCACCCAACCCAGGCCCGUGGCCGGCCUGGAGCAGCUGUGAUGCACCUGAGCAGGAUCUGCUGUGACCUGUUAGACAUGUGCGUCCUGCCUCAAGUUCGCCUCAAGGUUUCCUGAGGGCACAGACCAUCAUCUCUCUAAAGUCCUGCCCUGUGUGCUGGCUGCAGGCCUGGCCACGUGCAAAGAGGAAGUGAAUCUGCUCCAUAAAGCUCUCCUGCCACGUGACCCAAUUCUGAAGCAAGGGGGAGCCCAUCCCUAGCGUACUUUACCCUCACACACCAAGGACCCAGGCCAAAAUGAGAUUCGAGACAGAAUGUUUCACUCAUCUUGCCCUUUUCAGUGGUCUUUAGGAUAGCAAGAGAGAAAAAGCCUGAAGAUGGAAGAUUCUGUCAAGCCCUGCCAUCUCAAAAAGAUGCUCAGGAAGCCUUUGUGGGAAGAUGGAUGGUUCUGGGCAGCAAAUGGGAGGAAGUUUCCAGUCAUGAUUAAGCCAAAAGGUGAGUAAUCUCUACAGACUAAGGCAGGGGUUGGCAAAAUAUGGCCUACUGCCUGUUUUUCUAAGUAAAGUUGGUUGGACCACAGCCAUGCUCAUCUGUUUACGCACCAUCUCUGGCUGUUCAGGUGCUGUAACAGCAGAGCUGAGUAGCUGUGACAGAGCAAAUGGUCCACAACACCUCAAAGAUUCACUAUCUGGCCCUUUACAGAAAAAGUUUGCCAACACCAGGGCUAAGGCAGUGUUCCCAUAUAUUUUCACAUUGUGACACACACAAAAGAGGUGAUAUCUGCGUGGCCCACUAGGGUAAACAGACAAGGCCUCUUGUAGUUAGACAUACCCGGCCCUGGGGUUCUGGGCCCCUAAAGGCUGAUGGGACCUGUGUCUCAGUACACCUGUAACCUUUCAUAGCUCCAACCUGAAGGCUCAAAACCACAGCUGCCUCUCUAACCCUAGCCUCCAACUGAGCUAUAGAAAGAGGUGCAGAAACCCACCCUGACUCCUCAGGUCUCCCUGCCCACCUGUCCAGGACAAACCAGAGGUGGCAGGACUGAGACAGACACAAAACUGAGGCCCAAAGCAAAUCCUCUAGUAAUCUUACAAUUUGACAUUUUUCCCCUCCUUAAAGUACUCUGUAGAGCAAGUCUGCACCUUCCCACUGGCUAAAGACCAUGUUCUACAGCUGCUGAAUCCAAUGAGCUCUGGCCCUUGUCCAGACAAAGAAACCAAAACAUUAAUUCUAAAGCAGAAGGCUGCUGUAUGAAUGAACACCCGCUGCCUGUCACUCCCUCUGACUGACGAGCCCAGCAGAGCAGAAACUAAGGUAAAGGGCAGGAUGCUGACUGACCAGCCUGCAAAACUCUCUAUCUAUUGCUCAAAGACAUGCUUCCCAGAGAGCACAAGAAGGGGGCUCAUAUCCCUCCAUCCAUGAAAGAGUUGGGCCCAUCAAACCCCUAUUUCCCAGCCCAAUAGAGAUGGACUCUGCUACACUGCAACUCCUCUCCUCAUCACUCCCCCCC
rnacentral:lncRNA from 1 species